rnacentral:lncRNA from 1 species
UUGGAUAUCUACAACUCAUCCUCUCUUUAUUGACACUUAUAGCCAAGUCCUUUGCGCACAUUCUUUCUCCUCGGCUAUGUGGGACAUAAGACAAUGAGGAAUUAAACAUUGGCUUCUCUUCGGCCUCCCUGCAACCUCUAUGUCUCUAUAACUUUUCUUCAUUUUUCCAUUAUCUUGCUUCAUUUCUACAUUUCCUCUGUCUUUGGCCUUUUUUUUUUCUGCAGAGGCAGCACGAACGGUCAAGCUUGUUGCUGCAUAAAUGGUAGCAAUUUUCACUAAUAAGUGAAUGAAGGAGGACGUCACAAUAUAUAUGUUGAGUGUGUAUUUGGAUUAUCAUUUUAAUCCUCCAAAACGGGCUUUCACACUUUCCAAGUGAGGAAACGGAGAAGCAAGAAUUUGUCAUUGAGCUUCUUAACCUCAGUUUAAGUUGUUGAGACACACCACAAAGAAAAAACACUACCACUUCUCAAAAGACCAAAACAGGGUCUUUUAAAUUGUAGUGCAUGUUUUUUUGCAUUAAACUUUCCAAACUUGAGUUUGCGACAGUGUUUGUUUCAGCAUCCACGGACCAUGUUGAUUGUUGGUGCCAAUAUUACAUCAAAAUUGCAAAGAAACACAGAAGCAACUAUAUGAUGACCAGGCAAGUUAAUUUGGUCACUCAUGUUUUAGCUGGGUAUGCUAGCUCCCAGGUUUUUGAUUGUAUACAAACUUGUAUCCAGGAUACUAUCUUUACAGAAAUGCAAUGAUCUUUGUUGAGUCAAACAAAAACUAUGCGAUAG